rnacentral:rRNA from 1 species
GAUGAACGCUAGCGGCAGGCCUAAUACAUGCAAGUCGAACGGUGGUAGCAAUACCAUAGUGGCGCACGGGUGCGUAACGCGUAACCAACCUGCCCGAAACUGGGGGAUAGCCCGCCGAAAGGCGGAUUAAUACCGCAUAUACUCGCAGCCUGGCAUCAGGUAACGAGGAAAGAUUUAUUGGUUUCGGAUGGGGUUGCGUGACAUUAGCUAGUUGGCGGGGUAACGGCCCACCAAGGCGACGAUGUCUAGGGGACCUGAGAGGGUGAUCCCCCACACUGGCACUGAGAUACGGGCCAGACUCCUACGGGAGGCAGCAGGAGGGAAUAUUGGGCAAUGGACGAGAGUCUGACCCAGCCAUGCCGCGUGCCGGAUGAAGGACUUCUGGGUUGUAAACGGCUUUUCUCAGGGAAGAAAACGGGUAUGCGUACCACACUGACGGUACCUGAGGAAUAAGCACCGGCUAACUCCGUGCCAGCAGCCGCCGUAAAAC